UACGGCGGGUGCAAGCGUUAUCCGGAUUCACUGGGUUUAAAGGGUGCGUAGGUGGGCAGGUAAGUCAGUGGUGAAAUCUCCGGGCUUAACCCGGAAACUGCCAUUGAUACUAUCAGUCUUGAAUACCGUGGAGGUAAGCGGAAUAUGUCAUGUAGCGGUGAAAUGCUUAGAUAUGACAUAGAACACCAAUUGCGAAGGCAGCUUACUACCCGAAUAUUGACACUGAGGCACGAAAGCGUGGGGAUCAAACAGG
rnacentral:rRNA from 1 species